GACCACGUAGCUCAGUUGGCAGAGCAUUGGGCUAGCAUUCCAAAGGUCGCAGGUUCGAUUCCCACCGUGGCCG
rnacentral:tRNA from 1 species